UAAUACGGAGGGUGCGAGCGUUAAUCGGAAUUACUGGGCGUAAAGCGUGCGUAGGCGGUUAUUUAAGUCAGAUGUGAAAGCCCAGGGCUCAACCUUGGAACUGCAUUUGAAACUGGAUAACUAGAGUUUGGUAGAGGUGAGUAGAAUUCCUAGUGUAGCGGUGAAAUGCGUAGAUAUUAGGAGGAAUACCAGUGGCGAAGGCGGCUCACUGGACCAAAACUGACGCUGAGGCACGAAAGCGUGGGGGGCGAACGGGAUUAGAUACCCCGGUAGUCCACGCCGUAAACGAUGUCAACUAGUCGUUGGGCCUUUCGGGGCUUAGUGACGCAGCUAACGCGUGAAGUUGACCGCCUGGGGAGUACGGCCGCAAGGCUA
rnacentral:rRNA from 1 species